AAUACGUUCCCGGGCCUUGUACACACCGCCCGUCACAUCACGAAAGUGGGUUGCACUAGAAGUCCCAACGUUAACGGGCCCAGGGUGUGACUCAUGAUUGGGGUG
rnacentral:rRNA from 1 species